rnacentral:tRNA from 1 species
UUAACUAAAGCCAAAAAGAGGCAUUUCAUUGUUAAUGAAAAUAUUGAAUAAUAUUCUAGUUAAA